UACAGAGGUGGCAAGCGUUGUUCGGAAUUACUGGGCGUAAAGGGCGCGUAGGCGGCCAUCUAAGUCAGACGUGAAAUCCCCCGGCUUAACCUGGGAACUGCGUCUGAUACUGGACGGCUUGAGUAUGGGAGAGGGAUGUAGAAUUCCAGGUGUAGCGGUGAAAUGCGUAGAUAUCUACAGGAACUCCGGUGGCGAAAGCGGCGUGCUGGACCUUUUCUGACGCUGAGGCGCGAAAGCUAGGGGAGCAAACGGG
rnacentral:rRNA from 1 species